rnacentral:tRNA from 1 species
AUAAAAUUAGUUAAAUAUAUAAUAUCAGUUUGUCAAAAAAGAUAUUUUAUUAAUAUUUUAUA